ACUAUCAACAUAAUAUCAUCUCCAACCACACUUAGUGGAGGUGGGAAGAUCCACCCCAACUGGGCAGAACUAUUCCCUAAGCUAGGAUUCUGAGCUGUAUGAGGAGAAGUCUAGCUGAGCUCCCAGCACUCAUCAUUUGAUGCUCUCUGACUGUGGGUACAGCGUGACCAGCUCUCUCAAGCUCCAGCUGCUGCCGAUCCCGUGUCACAAAGGACUGAACCUGCAAACUGCGAGCCAAAAUAAGCCCUUCCUUCUGUUCAUUUCUUGUUGGGAAUUUUGUCCCAGCAAUAAGACAGGUGAAGAAGACAACAAAAAUACAUGUGGUUUAGUUGAAGAUCUUUAAUGAGCAAGUACAACAUAGUUAAUCACAUUCCCUCUCCUGAAUCAAGCAAGUAGACCUCUAGGCAUAGUUCUGUUCAGAUCUGUCUCUCCCAACAGAACCAAAUCUUCUUGAGGGUAAGAGUCGACUUUUUUCUUUCUCAGUGAUGACCUCAUUGCCCUUGACCCAUGCAUCGUUACUGCAUAAACAUAAGCAACAGCCUCUUAGUCUAUAAUUAGAGACUAGCUUUGAAGAUAAGAGAGCUCUUGGCAGCAGAGAACUCGAACACUCCAGGAAGCUGUAUACUUUCCUGCAGUCUAGCUGGAGAAGAAACACAGAGUGUAAGGCUGAAGUGGAAAAGCCUGGCUAACCCGCAGAGGCCGGCUUAAACCUGACCUACAACUGCGGAACACAAAGCCUUGGGAAGAAAUGGCUUCCUAAGACUAGAGUUGGGAGAUUUAGCAAAGCAGAAAACAGGACACCUGGUUAACUCUGAGAUCUGGACACUCGUUUCAUUUUUUUUUCCUUUUUUUUUGCACAUGAAUAUCCCUCAAGUUGUAAAGAAUAUACUUUUACUAAAAGAAUAUUCAUGGUUAAUCUGAGGUUUCAGUUUCAAUGGAAAUCCUGCAUUUUCCUGGACACUUCCACCCUACCCCAUAUGAUAAGAAGAAUAUCAGACAAAGGGUUACUUCCUCUCACUUGAGUUACUCAAAUACAAACCUUCUUAGGUUUCAGUACAAGUAUCUUCUAAGAUUUUUAUUCACAUGCAGUUUAACUGUAGUUUAUUUUACUCGAAUCUGUCUUCUCUAAGGGGCCUUGAUCCUGCCUUCCACAGCCAUUCUCGGAAAGCCAACCUCCACAUGGUCAGGGAGCUUCAAUCAGAGUGGCAAAGGUGAGUUAUAUUCACACAGUGCUGUCCCCUCUGUGUCCCUCUAAUGCUCCUUACAGUCAGCAGCCCAUCUCCUAAGAGAUCUCAGUGACACUGGCCUUCUGAUGGUCGCCGUGCUAGCAUGAUGCAUUUGAGGAGAUUCAGGACUAAGAAUCAAAAGUGAAAUACGGGGCUGGAGAGAUGGCUCAGCUGGUUAAGAGCACUGACUGUUCCUCCAGAGGUCCUGAGUUCAAUUCCCAGCAACCACAUGGUGGCUCACGAUCCUCUUCUGGCAUGCAGUUGUACACGCAGGUAGACCACACAUACAUUAAAAAAUACAUAAAUAGAAGUGAAAUAAAGCAGGGCUGGAUUCCCGGGGGCAGAGAACAGCAGAAGUGGUUGAGCUUGCACUGCCUUUGGUGGUGAUGGGGCACAUUCGUGUUUCCCGUGGAGUAGAUGUAGACUGCAGUAAUCACCAAGCCAGUCAGGUUCUGCAAGAGUGAAAGGAUUGCUCCAGAGACCUUGCAUAGGAUGGGUGUGUAAGAAACCCGAGGCCGUACAGGAGGCUGAAAGAAUAAAAUGUAGAGCCUACCACUCGGAUGACAACUCUUCAUGAGGACUACCAGAAAGAUCCAUCAGAGCAUCCAUGCUACAAUCUGGAAUGCCCAAUGAUUUCAAAGCCAGGCCAUGUCUGAUCUAACUCCUGGCCUCUUAAACUAUUCACUGUGUGACCUCCUUGACAGAGCCACUUGACUGAAGGUAGAGGUCAUGAAAAAUGUGGCAGCAGUGUAGCAUUUCCUAACAUGCAGAAACCAAAAAUUGAGUCAACAUCAAACAUGUAGUGAAUCCAAAGAGUUUCUGGAAGUCCUCUCCCAUGGUGCAGAGCAUGACAUCAUUGCGAACCUGAGUUGGGAUGUACAACACACAGCUUUCGACAAGUAGGCCAUCGUGGCGGUCACCACCAGUGAAUGCCUCCUCAACCAGUUUGGUUCAGAUUCAAGUUAUUGUUCUUAAUGAUGGCAGUGUUUCCCUUCCUAUAUGUAAAGUCUCUUGUUCUCACAAAGCAUAGCAUUUUAAUAGAACACAGAGAAUUUGAGCAGCCUUCAGCAUACAUCAAAUUAGAAUAUCUGUGUGUUGUGUUAUGUUAGAACGUCUGAUUUCAGAAAUUACUUGCGAACUGAGUUCAUUCACUGAUUUCUGUCUUUGAGAUUGUGACAGAAUUACUAGGAACUUCUGAAGUUCCCCGUAACAUGUAUCUCCUGAGUUAUACUACACGCUAUUUGAGUGUCACAUUCUUAGCAUUGACAAUUAUAAAUGAAAAUACCGACCAGCUCCAAAUGACAUUGAAAUUACCCUGUGUCCUUCAGUAUCAAAUAUCCGGUCAAGAAUGAAUUCUGUGUGUAAGAACUAGCGGUCACCUUUAUCUCAUUAGUGUGCAAGCUUGCUUUAAAUUUUAAUAAAUGAUAAAAUUAUAUAUGCACGCAAAAAUUGUGUUAAAACAUUUUUUUUAGGUAUUUAAGGGAUUUUCACUUGAGGGCUUAAAUAAAUAUGUUCAGAAUGAGUAAAAAUGAAAACAUUAUUAGAAAAUACAAUAAAUUUCUUUAUGAUGUAAUAUCAGUAAACAUUGACUUUGUAUGCCCAUUUUUUUUCUUUCUAUUUUUCGGAGCUGAGGACCGAACCCAGGGCCUUGCGCCUUCUAGGCAAGCGCUCUACCACUGAGCUAAAUCCCCAACCCUUUGUAUGCCCAUUUUAUAUGUUGGGGUCAUAUAAGAACUUCUUUGACAAAAAAGCUGUUGUUAUGUGAGUUGUUUUAGGAUGCUUUGAUCUAACUCAUAUAUAAGAACGUUCAUUUUCCAGUCCCUCUUCCUACUGGUCUAAGUCAGGGAAAUUUAAGGGUGAUGGAGAUACAGGAAGUUGACCUCUGGGAACACGUCUGUGAUGUUGCUAUCGAGGGAACUGAGGCAAAAGGCAUUGAGCAAAGAUGGAAGGCACCCUCUUGUUUCACCCGAUUACAGAUUUUCACGAUGGAUCAUUGACCUGCAGUCUUGUAUCUGAUCCUCAGUCCCUCAGUACCAAAUACUUCUCGUUUCCAUUUUUAAGACUAUGGUUCUGUGACAUGUAGUGGUGACAUUCGCAACCACUAGUUGGCGCUGUCUUCCACUGCGCCCCACGUGGUAGGUCAGGAUAGACUCCGCCAUUGCAAGAUGGCGCCAACCUUCGCCGCCCCAGCCGGCCCCCCUUUCAGGAAAUUAACUGUGCGCAUGUGCAAGAGUGCCUUCGUUCCAGGUCUUUGCCCACUCCGGGGCGUGCCUUAUGAGAUCAUGGGUAACAACCAAUCAGGUGUGGGUGCGCCGCACGAGGGUUUUAUAAGCGCCCCAUGUUGGCGCGGCGUGGCUUUUCCUCUUCUAAGAUUAAUAAAGUGGUCACAGUAAGGAUUUCUGAUGUCCGCGUGCUCCUUGCCGGCGGGAGGUCGCGCGCGGGACAGUGACAUAUGCUAAAUACUCCUCAGCGUGUUUCAUCGGCUCAACCAGCACUUCAGUAAGUGGUAUCGAACCAUUCACCUCCCUAGGGUUGACACAUUUCACUCAGCACGAAACUGCCAAUGUCGUCCGUGAAACCUACAGCUGCAGCUUCUUCAUACCCACCGCAACAUACUAUUUCACGGUGGGAGCAUGUGGCACUGCGAUGGUUGAUUUUUCACGUCUGUAAAUGUUUGGACUUCUGGCACUUUCUUCUCUUGUGGAACACGACAAAUUCUUAGGUGGCGAAGUCAGCCUAUGGAUUCUGGAACACAGACGACGACGCAGAAGCCAUAGUUAGCGCUCUGCUGGCCCUACACCGGCCUGUAUCUCUACCCAGAGUUUUUUCUACAGUUUCUGGGCCUGGGUGGCUUGGCUGUAGCUUCUUCCCAGUUCGUCUUGCCAGGAAUGGGAGCUGUCCCUGAGGAAAGCAUGUUGCUUAGAAUCUGUUUAAAUGAAUGAUACCAUUCUGACGUGAGUUUGAUGAUGAAGCUGUCCCUGCAGCAGAGAUUUGAAGGCCUCCCCUGCUGUUUCUGCUCCCUCUGGCCAGCACCAGUACCCUUCUGGAAGCACUUUCCCCUUUUAACAUUCAUUCUGAUUUAUCUCUGUAAGGGUCACAGAUAAAAGGCCUCUCAGCCUCCAGGGAAGGGGAAAUAACUCUCUCAGGCUGCCAGCAUACUCCACUAAGACGACUUCCUCCCAACUCUCCUGCUCACAGAAUCUCCAUGUCAAGCUUCAGUAUGCCAUGAAGGCCAACUAAACCCAAUCAUCAAUGGAGGCGGAAUCCCCCUUUUUGUGAUUAAAAGAAAAAUUCCUAAGGUUUAAAAACCUUCGAUGGCAUUAUUGUUUUUAAUUUACAAACAUUAAGACAGCACAGCUCAAAUUUCUCUUGUUAACCAUUUCUUAAAUGUUAAGUUCAGUUGUGUUAUGUGUAUUGACGGUGUUGUGCAACCAGCGUCUAGACGGUUUUUAGCUUGCAAAACUGUUUCUCCGGACCCAUUAGGCAAGCCUCUCUAUUUCCUGCCUCCCCCAUGGGCUGGCAACCACCCUAACUGCUUUGCAUCUUUAGGAACUUGGCCACUCUAAGUGCCUUGCAUAAGUACAGCCAUAAGAUAUUACAGCUAUUAAAGUAUUUAUAUGGAAUUUUGAUUGAAGUUACAUUAAAUUUAUAGACUUUAAAAGAGACUUGGUAAUGAAUUUUGCUAUAAGUUACCACAGGAGUCCCUUAAGGUGAGCCCUGCAGAUUUCUUAUUGAGUACCACCUAGGCGUUUUGUGUUUUUGAUUGUUCUUACUUCUCCGCCAUGCUGGGGCUAAACCCAGGCCCUAACACUUGCUAGACCAGUCUUCUUUGCUCCUUUUCUUUUCAGGUAGGAUCUCAUGCAGAUGAGACUAGUUUCAAACUCCCUAUGGAGCUGAGGUUGGUCUUGAACCCUUAAUCUUCCUACCUCUGACUCUCAUAUGGUGGGUGGGAUUAGGAGUACACCAGAAUGUUUGUCACUCUCUUGCCUUUUACGACUGAAAUGUCAUUAUGCUUCAAAUUGCUUUCUUUUAGAGGAACAAGAAAAAGAAAUUGAUAUUAUACAGUCGUAUUCCAUUACAAGAUGACUACUGCUAUUAAAAGUCCUCCCCAAAUACACACUCACGUGUGCAGACACCGUUUGCAAACACACGCUAGUGAAUCUCUGCUCUAAUCAUAAGAAUGUUCCCAGACAAACCCAGGAACUUGCUGUAUUAGAUUCAUUGCUACGUUCUUUUAUUAAAUUUGCCACAUUUCACUAUUAAAUUUGCUAACACUGUGUGCAAUUUCUUCUUUUCUGUUGCAGGUAAGAGUCCGCCUAUCGUUUGCUCUCUCGGUAUUUGUAAGAUAGUUUAUUAGAGUUUGCUGUGCUGGUUCCGCAGUAAUGAACAUUUCUACCAUUUGGAAAGCUUUGGGAUAAUUCAAGUAGGCAGAGAGAUCAGACUGCAUUUUCUUUAAAGGCUUGAAGUACUUAGCCAAGCGAAGCCCUGUAGAUAGAACAGCGCACACAGACUGUAAAUGACAACCAACACCCUGGCUGGCUGCCUCACUUUCUAGAAGACUCAGGGCAGAGAUCGGCUUCUCACAGAUUUAAAGGAUAGAGAAGUGUCUGAGACUGGAGAGGCAGCAGGCCUGGUGCGUUCUGGAUCUGGUUUGGGGUCUACCGUUGCCAGAUGACUUGGCUCGCUUCUGUGAGGAGCUCGUUUUAAUCUGUAAAGUGGGGACAGCCAUGGAACCGGCACACAUGGCAAGGUUGGAGGUGCUGUCAGUGGGUAGCAUUCACCUAGCAAAUGCAGGCACCAGGCCCAGCCCUGGGUCACAGCAAGAGGAAUGGGGGUAGCCCACAGAAGCAAGUGAUAACCAAACAAGCUGGUUUAAAAACAUAUUGUUAUUAAAUCUUUGAGAAUUUCACGCAUU